UAGUCCACGCCGUAAACGGUGGGUGCUAGUUGUGGGCCACAUUCCACGUGGUCCGUGACGAAGUUAACACAUUAAGCACCCCGCCUGGGGAGUACGGUCGCAAGACUAAAACUCAAAGGAAUUGACGGGGGCCCGCACAAGCGGCGGAGCAUGCGGAUUAAUUCGAUGCAACGCGAAGAACCUUACCAAGGCUUGACAUAUAGAGGAAACGUGCAGAAAUGUACGCCCCGCAAGGUCUCUAUACAGGUGGUGCAUGGUUGUCGUCAGCUCGUGUCGUGAGAUGUUGGGUUAAGUCCCGCAACGAGCGCAACCCUCGUCCUAUGUUGCCAGCACGUAAUGGUGGGAACUCAUGGGAGACUGCCGGGGUCAACUCGGAGGAAGGUGGGGAUGGCGUCAAAUCAUCAUGCCCCUUAUGUCUUGGGCUUCACGCAUGCUACAAUGGCCAGUACAAAGGGCUGCAAUACCGUAAGGUGGAGCGGAUCCCAAAAAGCUGGUCUCAGUUCGGAUUGAGGUCUGCAACUCGACCUCAUGAAGUCGGAGUCGCUAGUAAUCGCAGAUCAGCAACGCUGCGGUGAAUACGUUCCCGGGCCUUGUACACACCGCCCGUCAAGUCACGAAAGUCGGUAACACCCGAAGCCGGUGGCCUAACCGCAAGGAAGGAGCCGUCGAAG
rnacentral:rRNA from 1 species